rnacentral:tRNA from 1 species
AGCGAGUCGUAAUGGCGUACUAAGGGAUCUUCAAAAUCCUGAAGCGGUCUCCAAAACCGCGAUUGUUGGUUCAAAUCCAGCACUCGCUGCCA